rnacentral:misc_RNA from 1 species
AAUUCUCAAAGAAAACCUUUGGUAGCAAUAUCAAUGGCCCUUUCUUUGGAUGUGAGGGUUUAUUGUUGGCGUAAGUCAACUCCCUUGAAAUGAAUUAGCUAGGUUGACUAGACUUUGUCUAUUGGUGUGAUAAUUAUCUACGCCAUUAGAUUGUCUGCUUGUUAAACUGCUUCUAAUUGUCCCUUUGGGGACUUUAUUUAAAUGACC